GCCUACUUAGCUCCGAAGGUAGAGCAUCGCCUUUGUAAUGCGAUGGUCAUCGGUCCGAUUCCGAUAGUAGGCU
rnacentral:tRNA from 1 species